rnacentral:ncRNA from 1 species
CCGCAACGGUUCCUCCCAGGAGGAUUAAAAGGGAACCGGGUGAGAGUCCCGGACAGUUCCCGCUGCUGUGAGUUCCUAUGAUGUUCCGGCACUUUUGCCACUGAGACUGCGGAAGAUUGACCGUCUACGCACCUCGGGAAGGCGUCCGGAGCGGAACGAGUCAGAAGACCUGCCUUGCGAC